CCGUGGUGGUUUAGGUGGAAGCAGCGGUGGAGGAGGAGGUAGCCAACACUGUUUUUAAUAUAUAUAUAUAUAUAUAUAUAUAUAUAUAUUUUUUUUUUAUUGUGGUAGCCCCCAAAAUAUUGGGACAUAUAAAAAAAAGACAACUCUGUUCCGCAGAGUAGCUGUUGAUAUAAUAGUUGCGCAGGCACUUUGUUGACUCUAGAGAACCUCGGGCCAAUUGCACAUCCCCGUGACAGCGACUUUGCAUUCGGAUGUAAUCCUUAUCAACUUUCGAUGCCAGUUUCUGCGCCUACCAUGGUGACCACAGGUAAUGGGGAAUCAGGGUUCCAUUCCGUAGAGGGACCCUGAGAAAUGGCUACCACAUGCAAGGAAGGCAGCAGGCGCGCAAAUGACCCACUCCCGACGCGGGAAGGUAGUGACGACAAAUAACAAUACAGGACUCUUUAAUUGUAAUGAGUCCACUUGAAAUCGUUUAACUCUAAUCAAUUGGAGGGAAGUCUGGUGCAGAGCCACUGACCCGUGCGUGCUGCAGCUGUAA
rnacentral:rRNA from 1 species